rnacentral:lncRNA from 1 species
CUAGGUGGCGCUAGUAAAAUAUGGGGUAAACAAUGCUGACCCAGAUUCUUAUCUCAAAUGGAUUCUUAGAGGAAAUCAAAAUAUUUUGGAUGGAAAGUUAUACAAUUACAGAGAGAAUUAAUAAAAAGAAGGGCAUCAAUCAAAGGCAGAAAGGAAGAUUUGUUAACAAGACUUGAAGCAUAUGACAGAAAUCAAGACUUCAGGGAUGAACCUAUUCUCCUACCAGAACCUCAGGAUUCAGACUGGUCCACUGAAGGGUUUCAUCAACUGCAAGCAGACCAUAGGAUCCACUUCCCUAAAUUGGGAAGCAAUAUGAAAAAAACAGCAAUUAAGAAAUUUGAAAAGCAUACGGGAUAUAGUGUCAACAACUGCGGUUUAUUCACAUGUAGAGAAAGUCCUUAUCUGGCUGCAACACCCGACGGAGUCAUCAAUGAACAAACAAUAGUUGAGGUGAAAUGUCCAUAUGCUGGGAAAGAGGCAAUUAUCCAACCUUGAAUUUUUUUUCCAUACUUGGAUUAUACGGACGAAAAAAUGGAGCUAAAGAAAACUUCAAACUACUAUUAUCAGAUACAGUGACAGAUGUAUAUAUAUUGCUUUUUCAUUGUGUAUACAUUCAAGGAUAUGUUUGUACAAAAAGUUGAACUAGAUCAUGAGUACUGUAAACACAAUAUUUUACCAAAGCUAGAACUGUUCUACAAAAUGUAUCUGUGGAAAUAUAUAGCUGAACAUUUGUGAAAUAACAUUGAUGAUGAUUAAUGUAGACAUUUGCAGUACAAUAUGAUGUUCAGUCUAUAAAAAGCUAUUAUGCAUUUGAUAAAUAAUUGUUUGUAGUUGAAAUAAAUAUAUAACAGUCCAGCA